CUUGAAUGUGGUGUGUCCACACUUGUGACUGGUACUGUAUGUGAGAGAGAGAGGGUGUUUGGGGACUGUGGGAUUCUUUCAUCAGUUUGUCUCGUUAGACAGGUCAGAGUGUGUUUGGGGACUGUGGGAUUCUUUCAUCAGUUUGUCUCGUUAGACAGGUCAGAGUGUGUUUGGGGACUGUGGGAUUCUUUCAUCAGUUUGUCUCGUUAGACAGGUCAGAGUGUGUUUGGGGACUGUGGGAUUCUUUCAUCAGUUUGUCUCGUUAGACAGGUCAGAGUGUGUUUGGGGACUGUGGGAUUCUUUCAUCAGUUUGUCUCGUUAGACAGGUCAGAGUGUGUUUGGGGACUGUGGGAUUCUUUCAUCAGUUUGUCUCGUUAGACAGGUCAGAGUGUGUUUGGGGACUGUGGGAUUCUUUCAUCAGUUUGUCUCGUUAGACAGGUCAGAGUGUGUUUGGGGACUGUGGGAUUCUUUCAUCAGUUUGUCUCGUUAGACAGGUCAGAGUGUGUUUGGGGACUGUGGGAUUCUUUCAUCAGUUUGUCUCGUUAGACAGGUCAGAGUGUGUUUGGGGACUGUGGGAUUCUUUCAUCAGUUUGUCUCGUUAGACAGGUCAGAGU